rnacentral:tRNA from 1 species
AAUGAAAUGCCUGAUUAAAGGAUUAUUUUGAUAGAAUAAAUUAUGUAGAUUUUCUACUUUCAUUA